AUUUUUAAGAUAUUAACAAUUAAAUAAGUAUGUGAUUACAUCAUGACAUCAUGAAGGAGGCUACUGAUUCUUCCCCCGUGACACUUGGUGGUGACGUGUGAGCUGAUUCACCUGGAAAAUAACUUUUACAUUAAAUAUUUUGUUUUUGCUAUCAAAAGUAAAUUAACUAAUAACCUGCAUUACUGCAGGACACUCAGCAAAAUAUGGACUCUACACCAUGAGGCAGGCACACGUUAAUAACUCUAUAAGAGCACAUAAGCCUGGCUGAUCACCUGAUAACUCCUGUCAUCUGGUUAUGACAGCAUGAGGAUGUCCUCACACACCUGUCAUCUGGUUAUGACAGCAUGAGGAUGUCCUCACACACCUGUAACCUAUCAGCUCAUCUGGCAGAAUAGAGAGAGAAGAGACAACACCACAUCUCCUGUUCCUGGAAAGCCUUCAGCCUUCCUUCGAUGACUGAGAACCUCCAUCAGCUCUGUCUCCUGUCUGCCUACAAUUAUUAUAAUAAAUAUUGUGUUUGACAA